GACGAACGCUGGCGGCGUGGAUUAGGCAUGCAAGUCGAACGGUAUCAUCCUUUCGGGGGUGAGAGAGUGGCGAACUGGUGAGUAACACGUAGGUUAUCUACCCUCAAGACGGGGACAACCCAGGGAAACUUGGGCUAAUACCGGAUGUGAGCAACUUUUAGUUGUUUGAAAGGUGGCGUAAGCUGUCGCUUGGGGAUGAGCCUGCGUCCUAUUAGUUAGUUGGUGAGGUAACGGCUCACCUAGGCAAUGAUAGGUAGGCGGCCUUAACGGGUGGUCGCCCACACUGGGAUUGAGAUACGGCCCAGACUCCUACGGGAGGCAGCAGUCGAGAAUAGUCUACAAUGGUCGGAAGACUGAUAGUGCGACGCCGCGUGAACGAUGAAUCCCUUCGGGGUGUAAAGUUCUUUUAUAUGUGAGCAGUGCUUCUUAUAUUAACAGUAUGGGGAGAGAGAUAUUAGCAUAUGAAUAAGCAACGGCUAACUCCGUGCCAGCAGCCGCGGUAAGACCG
rnacentral:rRNA from 1 species